AAUCGCAGAUCAGCAUGCUGCGGUGAAUACGUUCCCGGGCCUUGUACACACCGCCCGUCACACCAUGGGAGUCGGUAACACCCGAAGUCGGUAGCCUAACCGUAAGGAGGGCGCCGCCGAAGGUGGGAUUGAUGACUGGGGUGAAGUCGUAACAAGGUAUC
rnacentral:rRNA from 1 species